GGUUGUGGCUCAGGGGUAGAGAGCUCACCUUGCAUGUACCAGGCCCUGGGUUCGAUCCUCAGCACCA
rnacentral:tRNA from 1 species